rnacentral:rRNA from 1 species
GACAGAGGGUGCAAACGUUGCUCGGAAUUACUGGGCGUAAAGGGCUCGUAGGCGGCCAACUAAGUCAGACGUGAAAUCCCCAGGCUCAACCUGGGAACUGCGUCUGAUACUGGAUGGCUUGAAUCCGGGAGAGGGAUGCAGAAUUCCAGGUGUAGCGGUGAAAUGCGUAGAUAUGCGGAGGAACACCGAUGGCGAAGGCAAUCCCCUGGGCCUGCACUGACGCUCAUGCACGAAAGCGUGGGGAGCAAACAGG